UAGAGUUUGAUCCUGGCUCAGGAUGAACGCUGACAGAAUGCUUAACACAUGCAAGUCGACUCGAGUCUUCGGACUUGGGUGGCGCACGGGUGAGUAACGCGUAAAGAACUUGCCUCUUAGACCGGGACAACAUCUGGAAACGGAUGCUAAUACCGGAUAUUAUGGUUUCUUCGCAUGGAGGAAUCAUGAAAGCUAGAUGCGCUAAGAGAGAGCUUUGCGUCCCAUUAGCUGGUUGGUGAGGUAACGGCCCACCAAGGCAAUGAUGGGUAGCCGGCCUGAGAGGGUGAACGGCCACAAGGGGACUGAGACACGGCCCUUACUCCUACGGGAGGCAGCAGUGGGGAAUAUUGGACAAUGGACCACAAGUCUGAUCCAGCAAUUCUGUGUGCACGAUGACGUUUUUCGGAAUGUAAAGUGCUUUCAGUCGGGAAGAAGUCAGUGACGGUACCGACAGAAGAAGCGACGGCUAAAUACGUGCCAGCAGCCGCGGUAAUACGUAUGUCGCAAGCGUUAUCCGGAUUUAUUGGGCGUAAAGCGCGUCUAGGCGGCAAGGAAAGUCUGAUGUGAAAAUGCGGAGCUCAACUCCGUAUGGCGUUGGAAACUGCCUUACUAGAGUACUGGAGAGGUAGGCGGAACUACAAGUGUAGAGGUGAAAUUCGUAGAUAUUUGUAGGAAUGCCGAUGGGGAAGCCAGCCUACUGGACAGAUACUGACGCUAAAGCGCGAAAGCGUGGGUAGCAAACAGGAUUAGAUACCCUGGUAGUCCACGCUGUAAACGAUGAUUACUAGGUGUUGGGGGUCAAACCUCAGCGCCCAAGCUAACGCGAUAAGUAAUCCGCCUGGGGAGUACGUACGCAAGUAUGAAACUCAAAGGAAUUGACGG
rnacentral:rRNA from 1 species